CUGGUUGAUCCUGCCAGAGGUUACUGCUAUCGAGGUUCGACUAAGCCAUGCGAGUCGAAUGUAGCAAUACAUGGCGUACUGCUCAGUAACACGUGGACAACCUACCCUUGGGACGGGGAUAAACCCGGGAAACUGGGUAUAAUACCCGAUAGAUCUCGGACGCUGGAAUGCAUCGAGAUCGAAAGCUCCGGUGCCCAAGGAUGGGUCUGCGGCCUAUCAGGUAGUAGUGGGUGUAGCGUACCUACUAGCCUACGACGGGUACGGGUUGUGAGAGCAAGAGCCCGGAGAUGGAUUCUGAGACACGAAUCCAGGCCCUACGGGGUGCAGCAGGCGCGAAAACUUUACAAUGCCGGCAACGGCGAUAAGGGGACCUCGAGUGCCAGGUUACAAAUCUGGCUGUCGUAAUGCCUAAAAAGCAUUUCAUAGCAAGGGCCGGGCAAGACCGGUGCCAGCCGCCGCGGUAACACCGGCGGCUCGAGUGGUAACCGUUAUUAUUGGGUCUAAAGGGUCUGUAGCCGGCCGGAUAAGUCUCUUGAGAAAUCUGGCAGCUUAACUGUCAGGCUAUCAGGGGAUACUGUCUGGCUCGAGGCCGGGAGAGGUGAGAGGUACUUCAGGGGUAGGGGUGAAAUCUUGUAAUCCUUGAAGGACCACCAGUGGCGAAGGCGUCUCACCAGAACGGACCUGACGGCAAGGGACGAAAGCUAGGGGCACGAACCGGAUUAGAUACCCGGGUAGUCCUAGCCGUAAACGAUACUCGCUAGGUGUCGGCCACGGUGCGACCGUGGUCGGUGCCGUAGGGAAGCCGUGAAGCGAGCCACCUGGGAAGUACGGCCGCAAGGCUGAAACUUAAAGGAAUUGGCGGGGGAGCAC
rnacentral:rRNA from 1 species